rnacentral:rRNA from 1 species
ACCAGACUCCUACGGGAGGCAGCAGUGGGGAAUAUUGCACAAUGGGGGAAACCCUGAUGCAGCAACGCCGCGUGAGUGGAGAAGUAUUUCGGUAUGUAAAGCUCUAUCAGCAGGGAAGAAGAUGACGGUACCUGAAUAAGAAGCCCCGGCUAACUACGUGCCAGCAGCCGCGGUAAUACGUAGGGGGCAAGCGUUAUCCGGAUUUACUGGGUGUAAAGGGAGCGCAGACGGCAGUGCAAGUCUGGAGUGAAAGCCCGGGGCCCAACCCCGGAACUGCUCUGGAAACUGCGGCGCUGGAGUACGGGAGGGGCAGGCGGAAUUCCUGGUGUAGCGGUGAAAUGCGUAGAUAUCAGGAGGAACACCGGUGGCGAAGGCGGCCUGCUGGACCGUGACUGACGUUGAGGCUCGAGAGCGUGGGGAGCAAACAGGAUUAGAUACCCGUGUACC